rnacentral:rRNA from 1 species
GGGAAUACGCUCUGGAAACGGAGAACAAAUCCCGAUGUACAGGAAGGAGGCAUCUUCUUUCUGUGAAACAUCCUUUAGGGGAUGGGGCGCGGAUGGACCUGCGGUGCAUUAGUUGGUUGGCGGGGUAAAGGCCCACCAAGACGAUGAUGCAUAGCCGGCCUGAGAGGGCGGACGGCCACAUUGGGACUGAGACACGGCCCAGACUCCUGCGGGAGGCAGCAGUAGGGAAUUUUCGUCAAUGGGCGCAAGCCUGAACGAGCGAUGCCGCGUGAGUGAAGAAGGCCUUCGGGUCGUAAAGCUCUGUUGCGGGGGAAAAAAGGCAGCAUCAGGAAAUGGGUGCUGACUGAUGGUGCCCCGCCAGAAAGUCACGGCUAACUACGUGCCAGCAGCCGCGGUAAUACGUAGGUGGCGAGCGUUAUCCGGAAUGAUUGGGCGUAAAGGGUGCGCAGGCGGUCCUGCAAGUCUGGAGUGAAACGCAUGAGCUCAACUCAUGCAUGGCUUUGGAAACUGGAGGACUGGAGAGCAGGAGAGGGCGGUGGAACUCCAUGUGUAGCGGUAAAAUGCGUAGAUAUAUGGAAGAACACCAGUGGCGAAGGCGGCCGCCUGGCCUGUUGCUGACGCUGAGGCACGAAAGCGUGGGGAGCAAAUAGGAUUAGAUACCCUAGUAGUCCACGCCGUAAACGAAGAG